CAGCACCUCAAGUGGUCAGGAUGAUUAUUGGGCCUAAAGCAUCCGUAGCCGGCGCUGUAAGUUUUCGGUUAAAUCUGUACGCUCAACGUACAGGCUGCCGGGAAUACUGCAGCGCUAGGGAGUGGGAGAGGUAGACGGUACUCGGUAGGAAGGGGUAAAAUCCUUUGAUCUAUUGAUGACCACCUGUGGCGAAGGCGGCCUACCAGAACACGUCCGACGGUGAGGGAUGAAAGCUGGGGGAGCAAACCGGAUUAGAGACCCGCGUAGUCC
rnacentral:rRNA from 1 species